rnacentral:lncRNA from 10 species
UUCUAACUUUGUGACAGUUGGGUUGCUCAUGGUCAAAAGUGCUUUUUAAUUAUGUUUUAUCCUUUCUACUUGUCAGAGGGAUAGAUUCCUAAAAGGAAGUUCAUAGAUAACGGCUAAUCAAAUUACACUGAAUUGAACUGGCCUGCAUGUGCUUAAAGAAAGUGCCCAUGAUGUGAUCAGGAAGCAAGCAUGUUUGAGGGGAGGGCCACAGGAGGCUCUGUCAUGAGAGAGUGAGGUCUUGUCUUUUGGUUGGGUCCUCAUGAGAUCUACCUCCUAAUGGCUCUAUAAUCUGGACGUGGGCCCACAAGAUCUGAGAGUGCCCAGACGAGAAGUUGAAUGCCUUGUGUUGACCUGAGUGUUUGGAAAAAAGCCCCAAACUUUGAAACAAUUUUCAUAAUUUUGAGCUUCAGGAUGUGGAAUCACUUCUCAAGUAUUCUGGAGUUCUGUCCAUCAGAGCGGGUCCUGCCAAUGCUGCCCUGUGCAGCGCUUCAGGCUGCAUCCCUCCCACUAGGGGGCGCCUUUCACAUAGUGGCGCCUGCCUUCUAGAGGAGCAACAUUUCCUGAACUGCAGGGUUCCCUCGGGGCUUUGUGUAAAACACAUCCACUGCAUAGAAUUUGUGUUAUUUCCAUUUUGUUUUCUUGACAAUAUUUAAUUAAUUACAAAAUGAUGUAUGUUAUGAUAGUUUAAGCAAUACAGAGAGUAACCAAACAAAAGCUUGGUCUUUUAUUCUCGCACUCUGAAUUUACAGUCCUGAAAACUCUAAACUCAUCAUAUAAUCUAUAUUGUAAAGACUUUGAUAAUCCCUUCCCUUGCCUUUCCUUUCCCCAUUCCCCCUUCCCCUUCCUUCUUCUACAUUGUAUGAUGUUUUUCAUAUUUACAUUCUAACCAAUUGUGUCAUGUGAUACUAAUUUGCAGAAUAAAGCAUGUUUUGCACAUAUUUCCAAGUCAUAUAACAUGCAGACAUACUUCAUUUUGUAAAUAUCUUCCUUCUCUUACUAUAAGAUUGAGAAUAGGUAAAGAGCAACUCUCCAAUGCAGGUGAUGAGUGUGAUUUGCACUAUCACUUUGGACAGCCAAUUGGAAUAUUUAUUGAAGUCAUAGAUGCCCAGCAAUUCUGUUACUGGAUGUGUCUCAUAGACAAACUCUUGGACAUUCUUAUAGAACACUGAGCCCAAAGAAGACACAUCAUAUAAUGUAAGAAGCUAGGACAGCUUAAAAAAAAAAGGCCUAGAUCUGUGUAAUUGUGUGAGUGUUCUCGGACAUACUGUUUGUAAAAAAUCGAGUUAUUGAGUAGUUUGAUAAUAUGAUAAUCAUGAAAAUAAAGGAUAAAGCAGCGAGUAAUUAUUAUUCUUCGAUAUAUACCUGCAUUCACACAUGGAAAAGAUACAAAAAAAUGAAUGGGGUUUACAUUCACUAAAUUACUAAAGUUACAUUUGGAUAAGGAAGAAAAAUGUUUUUUUCUUUAAAGUUAUGAAACAUACCUUGUAAAAUCAAAGGCACAGCACUUUGAUUCAAUGAAUAAAAGAGAUACCACAGAUUUGUCCCUCACCAGUGAGGGGUGAGGUAUUCCAACCCUGCAAGCAGAUGUACAUGUUGAAACUAUCUUCAAGAAAACAGAACCAGGGCUGGGCGUGGUGGCUCAUGCCUGUAAUCCUAGCACUUUGGGAGGCCAAGGUGGGUGGAUCAUGAAGCCUAUUUGCAUGCCCAUUCUAUAAUUUUUUAAAAAGUCAAGUUGAGUUUUAUAAAUACCUAGACUGAUAGGUGGAAGAAAAAUAAACAAUCAUGGUUUCCACAAAAGUUUAUUUCUUUGUGCUUUCUAUCCCAUAAUCAAAAUCUAAUUGCAAAAUCAAAUACUUUAUUCACUGAAAAGAUUAAGUAAAAUUGAGGAAUUCUUAUGGAAGUGUAAUUGAAAAAAAUGGUCCUAUGAUUUGUUUGUCCUCUCUGAAAUUCCCCUCUCCCUACCAAAGUGCUUGCAUUGCAGGGGUGAGCCACCACGCCCAGUUGGAGCAGCCUCUUUCAUCACAUGUAUAAUGGGUCCCAAGUGGAAGUGCCCCUGCCUCAUCUGCAACAGUGCACUGGGGAGGGGAGAUAAGAGGCAAGAGAUGACGCCCUCUCCAUGUCCAAUCCCAGGCUCUUAUGGUGACCCCUUCAAUGACUAGUGCUGCAACCAUGUUUCUUUUGUUCCAAAGGGGGCUUUGGUGGGCUGCACUCCCCCAACCUUGAGUGGACUGUUCUGAGGAUUAUGACACCAAAGGAUCCGCAACUCCCCAGUGACCUCUUUCUGGUCCCCUGUGCUUGCUGGAGUCAAGUGGGUUGUGGGGUAUGUCUGUGGGCACUUAGGCAAUGCAGUGGCACCAGUGGUGUACAACUGUUAUGGUACCUGUGACCUGGGGUUUUCAGCCCUGCAAGGGACUGUGAGGCCUGCCCAGCUCAUGCUCUCCUGACCUGGUGAGUCUCCCUCUGGCAUUCGCAGUGGCAGCAGGCCCAACUGGCUAGGCUUGUUCUCAGCUGUCUGCAUCCAGGUUGCUGAGCUGUUCCAGGCAUUCUCAGCUAUGAGACCCCAUUGGGGAGAAGCCUUGGCUAUCAGGUCAUUCCCUUCCCGGUCCAGUCUUGCAAAGGGAGGGGCACCCAGCUCCCAUGCUGGCACAUGGACCCACAUAGCACUCUUCUCUGUGCAGUGCAGUGGAGGUGUGCUGUGGGUAUCCUUCUGUGAGACUGGCCAGGUGGGCAGUCUUGGGAGGGACUGGGAGGUAGUGGGAGUGAGGUGGUAGGGGGAGUGUGGUCCAGAUGCACCUCGGUCCCACACUCAGUGCAAGACGAAGCGUCUUCGGAAAUCAGCGUUUAUGGUUGUGUUUUGCUACCACGGCACAGCUCAGUGAAGCCUUCUGUGCUUUGCUCAGGUUCAAGCUGUGCCUCUGCUUGUUCUCCAGGCGGCUCUCCCUGGAAGUCAAAAUGUCUAUGGGGAUCGUGGGAACUCCUGUAGCUAGGAUCACAGGGGUCCAUGGAGGGAAUGUGAUGUCUGAAGUUCCUUCAUCACCACCUCCUUAGAUCUGGUCCAGGUCCGGGGACUGGUCCUGGCACCUGGAAACUCUGAGUAGGCUGUGAGCUUCCUCCCUCUAAAACCAUGGUGUAUGUCUGGCCUUUCCAUUGACCCUCAGUGUUUUCUGAAGAGAUGUUUGAAAUGUGAAGUCUUACUCAAUACUUUGUUUCCUCGUCAUGGACGAAGUACCCUCCAGUGGCUUGUAGUUGUCCACAUUGCACCUUUUUGCUUUAAAGCAAUGGUGUGAUGGCCAUAACCCAGGUUUGAGUAUAUACACAGUUGUUGUUGUUAGGAUGUGGGCCUCUAUGUUUUUAUUUCCUUAUUUAAAAUGAGAAAAAACAUCUGUAGGUCUUACCUUACAGUGAUGUAUUCUUUUUGUUCCAUUUCCUUCACCCUCUUAAGCAAUCUUUCUGAACUCAUUUCUUUCUUCAUAUACCCUAUGUAUAAUAUGUACCCCAUGUACAGUACCAGCUAAGAGCGGGUGAGUCAUGAUAGUGAUAUUCUGCUUUCAUUAUUUUCCUCACUUCUGCCUUCCAGGUAUUCACAACUGACACAGAUUUACCAAAAAUUUAUAGUGCCAUAAGAUGGGUUGCCAUCUUUCUUUCUUUUUUUUUUUCUUUUUUUGGUGAGGGAGUCUCUGUUGUCCAGCCUGGAGUGCAGUGGUGCUACCUCGGCCUACUGCAACCUCCACCUCCCAGGUUCAAGCGAUUCUCUGCCUCAGCCUCCUGAGUAGUUGGAACUACAGGCAUGUGCCACCAUGCUGGGCUAAUUUUUGCAUCUUUAGUCAAGAUGGGGUUUCGUAAUGUUGGCUAGGCUGGUCUCAAACUCCUGACCUUAAGUGAUCCACCCACCUCGGCUUCCCAAACUGUUGGAAUUUCAGUCAUGAGCCACCGUGCCCAGCCCAUCUGCCAUCUUUCUAGGAUUCAAAAAGGUUUUGUAUCACCCAUGGCUUAUCUCCAGAGACAAAUCUACUCAUACAAGUUUUCCUAUUAUGUCAUUUUACCAAAAUAAACAAUGGGAUGAUUGUAUUCAUCAGAGUAUCAACCAAGAAAGAGAACUAGUAUAUAUUUAGAGAUUUGUUGCAAGGAACUGGCUUAUGUGAUUGUGGAGGAUCACUUGAGAAAGUCCAAAGUCCAUAGGAAAGGUUGGACAAGAACUGCUGCCAUUGUUCAUAGGCAGAAUUUUUUUAUGGAAGACUCACUUCUGCUUUGAAGGCCUUUUUUCCAACUGAUUAAUUCAAUAAUCAGGACCACUUAUUGAAAGUCAAGUGGGCCAGGCGAGGUGGCUCACAGCUGCAAUCCCAGCACUUUGGGAGGCUGAGGCAGGCACAUCACCUGAGGUCAGGAGUUCGAGAGCGGCCUGGCAAACAUGGCAAAACCCCGUCUCUACUAAAAAUAUGAAAAUUAGCCAGGCGUGAUGACACGUGCCUGUAAUUCCAGCUACUCAGAAGGCUGAGGAAGGAAAAUCCCUUGAAUCUGGGAGACGGAGGUUGCAGGGAGCCGAGAUCAUGCCACUGCACUCCAGCCUGGGCAACAUAGUGAGACUGUCAAAAAAAAAAAAAUAAAAAGCCAUCUCCUUUAGGAUGCUAAGGAACAUGACAAAACCAAUGAAUCCAUGAGUAUGGGCCCAUUGCUAUAACUCACUUGCUUGGAAGUGAGUUCCUUGGUUGGAAGCAAUGUUGUAUGGAGUACCAUGACAGCAGAUAAGAUAUUCUGUCAGUUUACAGAUAAUUCUUUUGGCUGAAGGAUUGAGUGCAGGGAAGGCAAAAGCAUACCCAGUGUGUCUAUUCCAGUAAGAACAAACUUCAUUCCUUCUACAAUGGUAGUGGUCUAAUGUAAUUAUUUUUCCUCUAGAUAUAGCUUAUCACCCUGGGUGAUGGUGCCAUACUGGG